UUCUUAUCAAGAGCAGGCGGAGGGACUGGCCCUAUGAUGCCCGGCAACCGGCUAUACAGCACGGUGCUAAUUCUUGCGGAAACGUAUGUUUCUGAGAGAUGAGAG
rnacentral:ncRNA from 2 species